rnacentral:rRNA from 1 species
UAGCCUGGUAGCAAUACUAGGUUGAGCCAGUGGCGAACGGGUGCGUAACACGUGAGUCAUCUGCCUGAAAGUGGGGGAUAGCUCGCCGAAAGGCGAAUUAAUACCGCAUGUGCCCCGAAGCAAUUCGGGGUAAAGCCGGGGCAACCUGGCGCUUUUAGAUGAGCUCGCGGCCUAUCAGCUUGUUGGUAAGGUAACGGCUUACCAAGGCUUCGACGGGUAGCUGGUCUGAGAGGACGACCAGCCACACUGGAACUGAGACACGGUCCAGACACCUACGGGUGGCAGCAGUCGAGAAUUUUUCUCAAUGGGGGAAACCCUGAAGGAGCGACGCCGCGUGGAGGAUGAAGGCUUUCGGGUUGUAAACUCCUGUCAUUUGGGAACAAUACCUUACGUUAACUGCGUGGAGGUUUGAUAGUACCAGAAGAGGAAGAGACGGCUAACUCUGUGCCAGCAGCCGCGGUAAUACAGAGGUCUCGAGCGUUGUUCGGAUUCAUUGGGCGUAAAGGGCGCGUAGGCUGCGGGGCAAGUCGGGUGUGAAAUCUCAGAGCUCAACUCUGAAACUGCACUCGAUACUGCUUUUGCUAGAGGACUGGAGAGGAGAUUGGAAUUCACGGGUGUAGCA